CCUACGGGUGGCAGCAGUAGGGAAUUUUCGUCAAUGGGCGCAAGCCUGAACGAGCAAUGCCGCGUGAACGAGGAAGGUCUUCGGAUCGUAAAGUUCUGUUGAAGGGGAAAAAGAGCGGAGAGAGGAAAUGAACUCCGAUUGAUAUUACCCUUCGAGGAAGUCACGGCUAACUACGUGCCAGCAGCCGCGGUAAUACGUAGGUGGCGAACGUUAUCCGGAAUGAUUGGGCGAAAAGGGUGCGUAGGCGGACUGCUAAGUCUGGAGUGAAAGGUACCGGCUCAACCGGUAUAGUCUAUGGAAACUGGCGGGCUAGAGAGCAGGAGAGGACGGUGGAACUCCAUGUGUAGCGGUAAAAUGCGUAGAUAUAUGGAAGAACACCAGUGGCGAAGGCGGCCGCCUGGCCUGUUACUGACGCUGAGGCACGAAAGCGUGGGGAGCAAAUAGGAUUAGAUACCCGUGUAGUC
rnacentral:rRNA from 1 species